UACGUAGGGGGCAAGCGUUGUCCGGAUUUAUUGGGCGUAAAGAGCGUGUAGGCGGCCUGAAAGGUCAGCUGUGAAAACUCGAGGCUCAACCUCGAGACGUCGGUUGAAACCAUCUGGCUAGAGUCCGGAAGAGGAGUGUGGAAUUCCCGGUGUAGCGGUGAAAUGCGCAGAUAUCGGGAAGAACACCCGUGGCGAAGGCGGCACUCUGGGACGGUACUGGACGCUGAGACGCG
rnacentral:rRNA from 1 species